AAGUUAUCUUUACAAAUAAUCUAAACUCGUUGCUGAUAUUCACAAAUAAGAAAGCUUGAAAGAUGUCUCACUUAAUAUCAGUGCUAGUUUUGUUGCUAGCAAUUAUCACUCUUACUAGCGCAGCAAGAAAUAUUAAUCCCAAAUAUGAGUCUGCACGAUCCAAUGGAUUUAUCAGUUACCAGCCCCCAACGACUGAUACACAAAAACUGGUUGGUCUCAAUCACAGGCGACGUAGACAUUUAGCACCGCCGCCUCCUCCUAAGAAGCCUCCACCAAUUCACGUCCCAGGAACACCACAACGACAGCCUCAUCAACACCCGAUACGCCCACCUCCUAAAAUGUAAGAAUUAAGAACUCACUAUUUGAGGAGGCUAAGUUCGUCCAAUAAACUAUUCCCUCCGGUUAUAAUUUAUAAGAAAAAAAAUUUGUUUUUGAGAUUCAUUAAAUACUUAAUAUAUAUUAAAUACAUUAAAUAUUCAAUGAAUUCAAAAAAUAGUUUUUUUCUCUUAUAAAUAUGACCCAAGGAAAUCAAGUUAAUAUCAUUUUUCAUAGUAUAUUUUAUAUCUUUCUUGUAAUUUUGAUUUAUAUGUUUCUAUUAUCUUUUAGUGUGCUUAAGAUUUUACCAUAUGGAUAAUAAUGAUUUAUUCAUAAUAUUAUUUGAGAAGUGUAUUGUUCAUUAAGGAAAAGAACAAAAAUGAAUGAGGAAAUGUCGUUAAUUGUAUUUGAUAGUUUUUCUAAUGUUUUUUUUUUUUUGACAAAAGUUUUGCUAAUGUUUAUUUUCUUAGUUUAGCAUCUUUAAUUUUCAUAGUUCCAUAUAUUUAGUUUAUUUGGAGCCUAUCAACGAUAUUCCGGUUUAAAUCUUGAUGAUAAUGUCUAACCUAAUAAUAUUUGAUAUUUAUCGGUUUAGAUAUGUCUUGCAAACAAAACACAACCGAUUAUAUCAUACUUAUAUUUAUAAAUAACAAAUUUUAUACCCGUCAAUAACGUUGAGACUACCCUCAUUUACACACAUUUAUCUUAUUGUCAUGAUGGAACAUUCAUAUAAUGUUGGAAGAAAAAUUGGAAGAUUAAACACCAAAUAUUAUACUUUGAUCUAAUGUUGUGUACAUUGAAAAAAUAGUGUGGAGGUUCCACAUAAAAUAGAACACACACAUUAGUAGUGUUUAAAUUACGGUAUUUAAUUUUAAAUAUUUGAUAAUGAUAAAAAUAAUAGUAAUUAUUAUUUUUAUUCAAGUACUAUUAAGAUCAUAGUUCCUUUUUGGAAUAAUAAUGUCCCGUCGAAAUUAAGAAUGAUCUUAAAUGUAUAUAAACAUUCUUUCAAAAAAUUUCUAAUUGAGGAGAAAUUAAAAAGUGGAAAUAGUGGUAUCAGCAUAUUUGAGUGGUCGUAGUGCCAUAUUGAUAUUUUGGAGAAUUAAAGUUAAAAUGGUGGUAACACCAUAUUUGAGUGGUCUCAGCACCAUAAGAGAGUGGUAACAAUACCAUAUUAAAGUGGUUUCAACAUUAAAGAGUGGUCUUACUAUCAUAUUGAAGGUGUAAUUCUCGAACGGUUUUCUACACUGCAAUAGUUAAUCGAACAGUUCUAACCGGGCUUGUUUUAUAUCCUGCAGACGGCGUGGUUAAUAGUCUGUCUUGAACAAUUUUGAGCAGUGUCAUGAAAUGUUUUAUAGAGAGCGACCUGAUCGUGACUCAACCUAGUAACCAGUGGCGGAGCCCUAUCAACGAUUAUAGGUCUAUUUUGCGAGAUUUUAUGCAAUUUUGUGUCAGUUUUAUGUUUUGGUUGAUCCAAAUUCUUGCAAAGUGGUGUAGUGGCCCACCCGAAAAUUUAAAUGAUUCAAUUAUAGGUCUAUUUUGUGAGAUUUUAUACAAUUUUAUGUCGGUUUUAGGUUUCGGUUGAUCCAAAUUCCCGCAAAUUGGUGUAGUGGCCCACCCGAAAAAUUUAAAUAAUUCAAUUAUGAGUCUAAUUUGCGAGACUUUAAACAAUUUUUCAAUAGUUAAUUUUAGUGGCCCACCCUGACAUUUUUUUCUGGCUGGCUCCGCCACUAGUAACAACUUCGAUAGAUAAUAUAAUUUAGAAAUUCAAAUAAAACAGUUUGAAAAUCCAAUUGUCAUGCAAAUUUACUAUUUAGCAAUGUACUGGUUUAUGUCAAACCACUGUCAAUUGAAUUACUCCAAUUUAGCCAAACUCCAAUAUAUAUUUAGCAAUGUACUGAUUUGUUGUUAAUUAGAAAUUUUUAAUGACUUAAUAGAUUUAAAAUCUUUGUGAGCAACAAAUUACAAGCAUUGUUUUAAAUAUAUAAAUCUUUCAAAUGAUGCAUCUAUGCCACUAUUUCUUUAAAUUAGAGUUUGUACUUUGUACACCUGCUGUUGUUUUGUGAAUUUCUAUUUGUUCUCAUGCCUUCCAUAUUGAAAUGAAGAUAUAGAAGAAAAAAUAUGCUGAAACUAGCUAAUUUUCGCAGACUAAACACUAUUAAAUUAGUCUCCAACUUUUUGUGAUGUUCUCAAAAAGUGCCUUCCAUACUAAUAUGAAGAUAUGGAAAGAAUAAUUCAAAAAGAUUAGUCAAUUUCUUUUUGUGUUAACUCUUCGAUUUUUAGGAAAAGAGAUUAUAGUAAUCUCGAGUACAUCUGUAAGGUAAGUAAAAUUUGAGCUAUAAUUGUUUCACUCAUUAAAUAAACUCAUAUGUCAUAAACAAUAUGUUCUUUAAUGAAAUUUAUUAACCACUCAAGUGUGAUUGCUUGUUUAAGAUUAGUCAAUUUACUCUUAUUAGUUCUUCAAAGAGUAUGUUAGGGACUAAUUUGAAUUUUUUUUUUAUCGCAAGGGACUAAUUCGAUUGAAAGUGGAUAAAUUUAGAGAUCAAACUAGUAAAUGAUUAAAUACAAACCCACUUGGGUUGACCUAGUGGUAUUGGUUUGGGACCUUAGAGUGUGCUCCUUCUCAAGGCUCAUGUUCGAUUCUCUUUGGUGCUAAUUUAGGUGGGUUAAUUUAAUUUCUUAAAUAAAAAGUGAUUAAAUACAAAAAGAACUUGAUAGUUUAAUAGAGUUAGAAAUAAUUUUGGUAUACUCAUAAUUUCAUAAACCAAUCCGAGAAUGUUAUACAAAAUCAUAGUCUAAUUUUAUGAUACCUCUAUUUCUUUUUGGUAAAUAGAGAUAACUUUCAUUAACCAACACAAUUAUUAUAAACCACAUGGAAUUAGGAAACAACUAAACAAAGAAACAAGAGUUAAGCUCAAACAAACAAAAAGAACCAUUAGCUUCGCACCCGAAUCAUCAGAGUUUGCACCUUCUUGAAUUGCAAUCCUAUAAUGUAAGCAUCCAUCUUGAUUUGGUUAAGGGGUUGUUGAACAGAUCGGUAACAAUUCUGAAAUCUUCUAUCAUUCCUCUCCUUCCAGAUCAUAUAGAGGGUCACACUCAACACCAUUCUAUGAGUUUGAUGCAUGUCAUUGUUACUGUUACAAUGAGACUGGAUAUAUUGCAAAAUAGAUUGCCAAUUGCUUAUAUUGACACUCAUAUUCAUCCAUCUCAUAGCACCUUUCUAAACAACAUCAUCAUAUUCACAAGAAAAAAAAAGGUGAGAAUGAGUUUCAUUCUCCUUUGUACACAAAAUGCAAACCUGGUCACAUUGGAUACCUACUUUAAGCAUCCUCUCACAUCUCCGAUGUUUUUACAAAACAACAUCCUAAUUCCAAACACAUAAAAAAAAAAAAAAAGGUUAAUAGAGCUUUACCCCCUGUAAUAUAGGGCACUUUUGGUUUCCCCCCUGUAAAGUAUUUUUUUUUAGAUUCUGUCCUUGUAAAAUAAGGAUUCUUCAAGAUUGCCGCUUGAGCCCUGUGACUCAACAGAGUCUAUGAUGUGACAUUUUAUUUUAUUUUUCAAUUUUUUUGGAUGCCACGUGCAAAAAAGAAUUUACAUGUCAUUUAUAAUUAAAAAAGUAAAAAAAUAUAUUUUUUUUUAAAAACGAAAAAUCUUUUUUUAAUUAUUUUUUAAAAAGCUCAAAUUAUUUUAAAAAUCAGAAAAAAAUACUAAUUAUUUUCAAAAAAUUGAAAAAAAAAUCAAUUUUUUUUUCAAAAAUUAAAAAAAUUGAAAAUUUUAUUUUGAAAAUGAAAUUCCAGAUUUUUUUUUAUUUUAGCUCAAAAAAAUGACAUGGAAAAUGUAUUUUACAUGUGGCAUUAAAAAAAAUUGAAAAAAAAAAUGCCACGUUAGUGACACAUCAAAGAUUCUGCUGAGUCACAGUGCAUAGGUGACAAUCUUGAAGAAUCUUUAUUUUACAAGGACGGAAUCUAAAAAAAUAAAAUUACAAGGGGGAAAAUCAAAAGUGCUCUAUAUUACAGGGGUUAAAGCCCUAUAAACCCUAAAAAAAUAUUCGGUUUUUUGCGGUUUUUAAUUUUUUUUGGAUUAGUUUACGGUUUUUUUAUCGGUUUGAAUUUGAACACCCCUAAAACCAUCUCCAAUGGGAGAUCUUCAACAUUUAAGACCCGAUAUCUAUUAGGUACCCCCAUUUGGGAGAAAAAAUUUCAAGGUCUUAUAAGACCAUGGGGGGUCUCACUUAAGACCCUCAAUCUUAAGCGGGACCCACUCUAUUUUAAUAUUAAAAAAUUGAAAUAUAAUGAUAUAAAGUUAUUGAUAGUUGCUUAUCGUGGCUCAUUUAAGUAAUUUGUAUGAGAUGCUGGGUUGGAAGGAUUGAGUACUUAUUAGAUACUUCCUCCGUUUCAAAAUACUUGUCCAUUUUGAAGAAAUUACACAUACCAAUGAAUCAAAUAAAUGUUGUCAUUUUUUAUGAAAUUCUUUGUGUCUUUUUCUAUAAUACCCUGCUCAUUUAUUAUUUCAUUCAAUUAUUUCUCUCUCAACAAUAAAUAGGUAAGGGUAAUAUUGAUAAACCAAUAAUUAAUGUUGCAUUGAAACUUCAAAGUGACAAGUAAAAUGAAACAAAAUAAUUCUCCAAAAUGGACAAGUAUUGUGAAAUGGAGGGAGUACUACUCUUAAAUAAUUAUAAAUAAGUGAUGUAUCCGUAAGACUCAUUUAAAUAUUUAAAAAUGAAUAUCUCCAUUAUAGAUGCUGUAAUAAAGAAUAUAACUUUUUAUUAAAAAAUUUUGUAAUUAUUACAUCAACAAAAAUAACAAUUUUUUUUUUGAAGAAACAAAAAUAACAACUUGUUUUAUAAAAAAAGUAAAAACUUAUUUCAAAGACAUACUGUCAUUUAAUACAAUUCUUUUUUCUUUUUUGACCAAACAUUUAAUACAAUUCUUAAAAAACUUGUGAAGCUGGUUUCUUAAGAAACAAAAUGACUAUACGGCCCAUGUUAAAGCAACCUCUCUCGCCAACUUCUUCACAAUCAAACAAGAGAAAUUUGGCAUCUUGAUCUCACCAAUAAUUCUCUCAUCUCUCUUUCACUGAAAAGUCUAACAAGGUUUAUGUGGGUCAAAAUCGUCGACAAGAUAGUUUUUCUUGUUGGGAAGUUAAGUGGAAAUGAAGUAUUUUUUGGAAGAAAAAGACCAAACUUUUCUACGCUCCCUACAUAGUUUUGAGAAAUUGUUAUCAUUACAAAUAACCUAAACUCGUUGCUGAUAUUCACAAAUAAGAAAGCUUGAAAGAUGUCUUACUUAAUAUCCAUGCUAGUUUUGUUGCUAGCAAUUAUCACUCUUACAACCGUAGCAGGAAAUAUUAAUCCCAAAUAUGAGUCUGCACGAUCCAAUGGAUUCAUCAGUUACCAGCCCCCAACAACUGAUACACAAAAACUGGUUGGUCUCGAUUACAGGCGACGUAGACAUGCACCACCGCCGCCACCUCAAUAUCGUCCCAGAAUUAACUACCCAGGAACACCACACCAACAGCCUCAUCGACACCAGUUACGCCCACCUCCUAAAAUGUAAGAAUUAAGAACUCACCAUUUGAGGAGGCUAAGUUGGUCCAAUAAACUACUCUCUCCUGUUAUGUUUAAAAAAAAAAAAAAAAGUUUUUUUUAGAUUCAUUGAAUACUUGAUACAUAUUAUAAACCAAAUAUAUUAAGUAUUCAAUAAAUCUAACAAUCAGUUUUUUUUAGUUUAUAAAUGUAACUGAAGGACAAUUAACAUCAUCGUUGAUAGUAUAUUUUAUGUCUUUCACUAAAAAAAGUAUAUUUUAUGUCUUAGUUGUUAUUUUGAUUUAUAUAUUUUCUGUACUUUUUAGUGUGCUUAAGAUUUUACCAUAUGGAUAAUAAUGAUUUAUCCAGAAUAUUAUAUAAUAAGUGUAUUAAUUGUUCAUUAAGGAAAAGAACAAAAAUAAAUGUGGAAACGUCUUUAAUUGUAUUUGAUAGUUUUUUUUUAUUGUUUAUUUUAUCUUUAAUUUUCUUAGUUCCAUAUUUUUAAUUUAUUUGGAGCCUGUCAACGAUAUUCCGGGUUGGAAUCCAGUUAAUAAUAUGUCUAACAUAAUAAUAUUGUUAUUUGUCGGUUGAGUUAUGUCUUACGAACAACGACGCAAUUUAUUAGUAUAUCAUAUUUAAUAUCUUUUGUCAAAAAAAAAAAUCAUACCUUUUUUUUUUUUUUUUUAUUUAAGGAGAAAUCAUACUUAAUAUCUACUGUGUGAAUAGAAUUACUCAAAUUUAGCCAAACUGCAAUAUAUAUGCUCCCAUUCACUUUAUACAUUUUCCGGUACUGAUUUGUUGUUGGAAAUUGUUAAAGACUUACCAGAUUUAAAAUAUAUUUGAGUAAACUAAAUCAGAAAAUAUCAUAUCAUCUUUUGUUUGAUUUCCUUACAACUUUUUUUGGUCAAGUAGGCAAACAGCCAGAGAAAUUCACUUUAAAUGUGAAUAAGUAGGAUGUUGGGGGUUCAAACUCCAGCCUCUACAUAUAUAUGCAUUAUCCAAUACUAAAUAAGUUAAUCUUACAGGAACCCCCAUACAUACAAUUUACAUGGUAUAUUUAUUAUUUUUUCAACAAACAUACCUCUUAUUAAUAUUACUAAUUUAUCCUUGAAAAUGAAAAGUUAAAAUUAAACACUAAUUUAUUUCAAUGUUUUCCAACUUCAAAGUUAUUGUUAAAUCGGCGCACAUUACUACUUUGUUUAAUAUGACAUCUUCAUAUAAGUGAUUUAAAAAAAAAAUAGUGGUAUUUGAACAACCAUUUCAUACAACUUUUGGUGACAAUUUCUUUUCUCUCUUUUCAUUGGUUAAAAAUAAUGGAGAGAGAAAAAUGAAGAGAGAAAAUAAGAGGAUAAUGCGAGUAUGAGAGAUAAAGUUAUAAAAAAAUCGUCAUAAAAUGGAUGUACAAAUAUUAUUUCUCUUAAAAAAAAAAAAAGGGGUUGACAUCGUUCUAUAUAACUAUAAAUUACUAAUAAGAUAUAGUUAAAGUGGCCCCAUACGAACACAUCAUUUGUUCAAUCAAUUUUUAAAGGUAAUGUUUAAUAAGUAUUUAUUUAUUCCAAUCUAACAACUCUUCAAAAAUUAUUAAGUGGGUCCUACAAAUAACUUUACAUUAGUACUUUUUAAAAACAAUUAAUAUGUUUGUGCAAUUUGCUCAUUAUUUAGCAAAGACGAUUCCGUGUCAUGUUAGUUUCCGUGUUCAUAUUAGAACUCUAUCAUAUAUCUCUAUUAUUAUUAUAAAUGAAAUGCACUAAAUUUUCCUUUGUAAAAACAGUUUGUGCAACAUUAUUAUUUUUUAAAUAUGAAGAAAACAUUGAAUAGAGAGUAUGCAAUACAAGAGAGAGACAAUACUUUUACUACAAGCUUUGCAUCUAAAUAACAGUGCUUCUUAUUUCUUCUCCAUUGAUAACAAAAAAGGACUUGUUUCUACCUACUAAGUAACAAAAUAGUCUUUGUCAAAAAAAAAAAAAAGUAACAAAAUAGUCAAUAGUAAGCAUUUUCUUCAAAUCUUCACUUGAAUUACCAUUGACCAAACAAUGCUACGAUAUACUCAACUAUUGAGUUUCCUUUGAUCUUUGAUAAAAUGUCAAUUAUAAGAUGGACAAUUUAAAUGAGAAAACCCCUAAAUUUCAUUUUAAGGUGAAAUGAUCAAAGUCCUUUACUUUAUGUUACCAACUUACUCAAAUUAAAACCAUGAGAUCAUCUCACUCUAACGUACCAAAAUUCAAUCAAGUCUAAGUUACUCCAUUUAUUCUCUAAUUACAAAAGUUUAUAUGAAUUUUCAGAGAGAUGAAUGCGAUGAGGGUUUGAACAAGAUAAAGAGAAAAUGUCAUAAUUUAAAAAAAUAGAUUGUUAAAACUUAUAUAAUUUUUGAGAAUAUAAGAGAAGUGAACAUGUAUAAAUUUUGUGAAAAUAUACGAUUGAAUCAAUUCAUUCAAAUCUAGAACAUAAGUGUGAAUCGAUUCAUAAGUUAGAGACUUUUAAAGCACUAUUUUAAAGAAAAAUAGGGAGUGAAUCGAUUCAUUCAACCUCGGAAAAGGAUUUGUGAAUCGAUUCAUAAGUCAAAGAGUUAAACCUCUUAAAAAAAAUAAUUCAUUCAAAUCAUAAACGAGGUAUGAACCGAUUCACUUAACUUAAAGUGUAAUAAAUCAUGUUUUUUUAUUAUGUGAAUUGAUUUUCACAUACCCCAAAAUUAAUUUUUUUUUUAUGCUAACAUAACUUCCAAAAACAUUAUUCAUUGAAAUUUCAAAGGGACGGUGAUGUGAUACUUAGAAGUUACUUAGUUACAUCAAUUAUAAACUUAUUUUUUGUCCUCUAAUUGAAAUGAAUUCUUAUACACUAAAAAUAAUAUGUACUUACAUGAUGCACUUAAUUAGUUAAAAAUUAUUUAAUUGAUGCACUUCGUUAAUAUAAAAAAUAUUACAGUGUUGGUAAUCAAUGGAUUCACAUUGACACCACAAUUAUUUUCACUUUUCAAAAUAUUAUAAUACUCCCUCCGUCCCUAAUUAUAAGACCCUUUUGAGAAUUUUUUUUGUCCCUUUUUAUAAGAUNUUGGAAUAAUAAUGUCCCGUCGAAAUUAAGAAUGAUCUUAAAUGUAUAUAAACAUUCUUUCAAAAAAUUUCUAAUUGAGGAGAAAUUAAAAAGUGGAAAUAGUGGUAUCAGCAUAUUUGAGUGGUCGUAGUGCCAUAUUGAUAUUUUGGAGAAUUAAAGUUAAAAUGGUGGUAACACCAUAUUUGAGUGGUCUCAGCACCAUAAGAGAGUGGUAACAAUACCAUAUUAAAGUGGUUUCAACAUUAAAGAGUGGUCUUACUAUCAUAUUGAAGGUGUAAUUCUCGAACGGUUUUCUACACUGCAAUAGUUAAUCGAACAGUUCUAACCGGGCUUGUUUUAUAUCCUGCAGACGGCGUGGUUAAUAGUCUGUCUUGAACAAUUUUGAGCAGUGUCAUGAAAUGUUUUAUAGAGAGCGACCUGAUCGUGACUCAACCUAGUAACCAGUGGCGGAGCCCUAUCAACGAUUAUAGGUCUAUUUUGCGAGAUUUUAUGCAAUUUUGUGUCAGUUUUAUGUUUUGGUUGAUCCAAAUUCUUGCAAAGUGGUGUAGUGGCCCACCCGAAAAUUUAAAUGAUUCAAUUAUAGGUCUAUUUUGUGAGAUUUUAUACAAUUUUAUGUCGGUUUUAGGUUUCGGUUGAUCCAAAUUCCCGCAAAUUGGUGUAGUGGCCCACCCGAAAAAUUUAAAUAAUUCAAUUAUGAGUCUAAUUUGCGAGACUUUAAACAAUUUUUCAAUAGUUAAUUUUAGUGGCCCACCCUGACAUUUUUUUCUGGCUGGCUCCGCCACUAGUAACAACUUCGAUAGAUAAUAUAAUUUAGAAAUUCAAAUAAAACAGUUUGAAAAUCCAAUUGUCAUGCAAAUUUACUAUUUAGCAAUGUACUGGUUUAUGUCAAACCACUGUCAAUUGAAUUACUCCAAUUUAGCCAAACUCCAAUAUAUAUUUAGCAAUGUACUGAUUUGUUGUUAAUUAGAAAUUUUUAAUGACUUAAUAGAUUUAAAAUCUUUGUGAGCAACAAAUUACAAGCAUUGUUUUAAAUAUAUAAAUCUUUCAAAUGAUGCAUCUAUGCCACUAUUUCUUUAAAUUAGAGUUUGUACUUUGUACACCUGCUGUUGUUUUGUGAAUUUCUAUUUGUUCUCAUGCCUUCCAUAUUGAAAUGAAGAUAUAGAAGAAAAAAUAUGCUGAAACUAGCUAAUUUUCGCAGACUAAACACUAUUAAAUUAGUCUCCAACUUUUUGUGAUGUUCUCAAAAAGUGCCUUCCAUACUAAUAUGAAGAUAUGGAAAGAAUAAUUCAAAAAGAUUAGUCAAUUUCUUUUUGUGUUAACUCUUCGAUUUUUAGGAAAAGAGAUUAUAGUAAUCUCGAGUACAUCUGUAAGGUAAGUAAAAUUUGAGCUAUAAUUGUUUCACUCAUUAAAUAAACUCAUAUGUCAUAAACAAUAUGUUCUUUAAUGAAAUUUAUUAACCACUCAAGUGUGAUUGCUUGUUUAAGAUUAGUCAAUUUACUCUUAUUAGUUCUUCAAAGAGUAUGUUAGGGACUAAUUUGAAUUUUUUUUUUAUCGCAAGGGACUAAUUCGAUUGAAAGUGGAUAAAUUUAGAGAUCAAACUAGUAAAUGAUUAAAUACAAACCCACUUGGGUUGACCUAGUGGUAUUGGUUUGGGACCUUAGAGUGUGCUCCUUCUCAAGGCUCAUGUUCGAUUCUCUUUGGUGCUAAUUUAGGUGGGUUAAUUUAAUUUCUUAAAUAAAAAGUGAUUAAAUACAAAAAGAACUUGAUAGUUUAAUAGAGUUAGAAAUAAUUUUGGUAUACUCAUAAUUUCAUAAACCAAUCCGAGAAUGUAAUACAAAAUCAUAGACUAAUUUUAUGAUACCUCUAUUUCUUUUUGGUAAAUAGAGAUAACUUUCAUUAACCAACGCAAUUAUUAUAAACCAGAUGGAAUUAGGAAACAACUAAACAAAGAAACAAGAGUUAAGCAUCCAUUAAUGAGUUUGCACCCGAAUCAUCAGAGUUUGCACCUUCUUGAAUUGCAAUCCUAUAAUGUAAGCAUCCAUUUUGAUUUGGUUAAGGAGUUGUUGAACAGAUCGGUAACAAUUCUGAAAUCUUCUAUCAUUCCUCUCCUUCCAGAUCAUAUAGAGGGUCACACUCAACACCAUUCUAUGAGUUUGAUGCAUGCCAUUGUUACUGUUACAAUGAGACUGGACAUAUUGCAAAAUAGAUUGCCAAUUGCUAGUAUUGACACUCAUAUUCAUCCAUCUCAUAGCACCUUUCUAAACAACAACAUCAUAUUCACAAGAAGAAAAAAAAAAGUGAGAUUGAGUUUCAUUCUCCUUUGUACACAAAAUGCAAACCUGGUCACAUUGGAUACCUACUUUAAGCAUCCUCUCACAUCCCAGAAGUUUUUACAAAACAACAUCCUAAUUCCAAACACAUAAAAAAAAAAGGAUUAAUAGAGCUUUACCCCCUUGUAAUAUAUGACACUUUUGGUUUUCCCCCUGUAAUUUUUUUUUUAGAUUCCGUCCUUUUAAAAUAAAGAUUCUUCAAGAUUGCCCCCUGAACCCUGUGACUCAGCAGAAUCUAUGAUGUGACAUUUUUUUUUUCAAUUUUUUUGGAUGCCACGUGUAAAAAAGAUUUUACAUGUCAUUUAUAAUUAAAAAAGUAAAAAAAAUAUAUUUUUUUUAAAAAACGAAAAAAUCUUUUUUUAAAAAGCUAAAAUUAUUUUAAAAAUCAGAAAAAUACUAAUUUUUUUUAAAAAAUUUGAAAAAUCGAAAAAAAAUCAAUUUUUUUUUCCAAAAUUUAAAAAAUUGAAAAUGAAAUUCCAGAUUUUUUUUUUUUUAUUUUAGCUCAAAAAACUGACAUGGAAAAUGUAUUUUACACGUGACAUUAAAAAAAAAUUGAAAAAUAAAAAAAAAUGUCACGUCAGUGACAUAUCAAAGAUUCUGCUGAGUCACAGUGCAUAGUGGGCAAUCUUGAAGAAUCUUUAUUUUAUAAGGACGAAAUCUAAAAAAAAAAAUUUGCAGGGGGAAAACCAAAAGUGCCCUAUAUUACAGGGUGGUAAAGUCCUAUUAACCCUAAAAAAAAUAUUCGGUUUUUUGCGGUUUUCAAUUUUUUUUGAUUAGUUUACAGUUUUUUUAUCGGUUUGAAUUUGAACACCCCUAAAACCAUCUCCAAUGGGAGAUCUUCAACAUUUAAGACCCGAUAUCUAUUAGGUACUCCCAUUUGGGAGAAAAUUUUUCAAGGUCUUAAAAGACCUGGGGGUCUCACUUAAGACCCUCAAUCUUAAGCGGGACCCACUCUCUUUUAAUAUUAAAAAAUUGAAAUAUAAUGAUAUAAAGUUAUUGAUAGUUGCUUAUCGUGGCUCAUUUAAGUAAUUUGUAUGAGAUGCUGGGUUGGAAGGAUUGAGUACUUAUUAGAUACUUCCUCCGUUUCAAAAUACUUGUCCAUUUUGAAGAAAUUACACAUACCAAUGAAUCAAAUAAAUGUUGUCAUUUUUUAUGAAAUUCUUUGUGUCUUUUUCUAUAAUACCCUGCUCAUUUAUUAUUUCAUUCAAUUAUUUCUCUCUCAACAAUAAAUAGGUAAGGGUAAUAUUGAUAAACCAAUAAUUAAUGUUGCAUUGAAACUUCAAAGUGACAAGUAAAAUGAAACAAAAUAAUUCUCCAAAAUGGACAAGUAUUGUGAAAUGGAGGGAGUACUACUCUUAAAUAAUUAUAAAUAAGUGAUGUAUCCGUAAGACUCAUUUAAAUAUUUAAAAAUGAAUAUCUCCAUUAUAGAUGCUGUAAUAAAGAAUAUAACUUUUUAUUAAAAAAUUUUGUAAUUAUUACAUCAACAAAAAUAACAAUUUUUUUUUUGAAGAAACAAAAAUAACAACUUGUUUUAUAAAAAAAGUAAAAACUUAUUUCAAAGACAUACUGUCAUUUAAUACAAUUCUUUUUUCUUUUUUGACCAAACAUUUAAUACAAUUCUUAAAAAACUUGUGAAGCUGGUUUCUUAAGAAACAAAAUGACUAUACGGCCCAUGUUAAAGCAACCUCUCUCGCCAACUUCUUCACAAUCAAACAAGAGAAAUUUGGCAUCUUGAUCUCACCAAUAAUUCUCUCAUCUCUCUUUCACUGAAAAGUCUAACAAGGUUUAUGUGGGUCAAAAUCGUCGACAAGAUAGUUUUUCUUGUUGGGAAGUUAAGUGGAAAUGAAGUAUUUUUUGGAAGAAAAAGACCAAACUUUUCUACGCUCCCUACAUAGUUUUGAGAAAUUGUUAUCAUUACAAAUAACCUAAACUCGUUGCUGAUAUUCACAAAUAAGAAAGCUUGAAAGAUGUCUUACUUAAUAUCCAUGCUAGUUUUGUUGCUAGCAAUUAUCACUCUUACAACCGUAGCAGGAAAUAUUAAUCCCAAAUAUGAGUCUGCACGAUCCAAUGGAUUCAUCAGUUACCAGCCCCCAACAACUGAUACACAAAAACUGGUUGGUCUCGAUUACAGGCGACGUAGACAUGCACCACCGCCGCCACCUCAAUAUCGUCCCAGAAUUAACUACCCAGGAACACCACACCAACAGCCUCAUCGACACCAGUUACGCCCACCUCCUAAAAUGUAAGAAUUAAGAACUCACCAUUUGAGGAGGCUAAGUUGGUCCAAUAAACUACUCUCUCCUGUUAUGUUUAAAAAAAAAAAAAAAAGUUUUUUUUAGAUUCAUUGAAUACUUGAUACAUAUUAUAAACCAAAUAUAUUAAGUAUUCAAUAAAUCUAACAAUCAGUUUUUUUUAGUUUAUAAAUGUAACUGAAGGACAAUUAACAUCAUCGUUGAUAGUAUAUUUUAUGUCUUUCACUAAAAAAAGUAUAUUUUAUGUCUUAGUUGUUAUUUUGAUUUAUAUAUUUUCUGUACUUUUUAGUGUGCUUAAGAUUUUACCAUAUGGAUAAUAAUGAUUUAUCCAGAAUAUUAUAUAAUAAGUGUAUUAAUUGUUCAUUAAGGAAAAGAACAAAAAUAAAUGUGGAAACGUCUUUAAUUGUAUUUGAUAGUUUUUUUUUAUUGUUUAUUUUAUCUUUAAUUUUCUUAGUUCCAUAUUUUUAAUUUAUUUGGAGCCUGUCAACGAUAUUCCGGGUUGGAAUCCAGUUAAUAAUAUGUCUAACAUAAUAAUAUUGUUAUUUGUCGG
rnacentral:lncRNA from 1 species